GUUGGCUUAGAAGCAGCCACUCAUUUAAAGAGUGCGUAAUAGCUCACUAGUCGAGAGAUCCUGCGCCGAAAAUGUACCGGGGCUAAACUUACCACCGAAGCUACGGAUUUGCAAGUAAUUGCAAGUGGUAGGGGAGCGUCGUAAUCGGGCUGAAGUCGUACCGGAAGGAGCGGUGGACUGAUUACGAGUGAGAAUGUUGGCAUUAGUAGCGAGAUGUAGGUGAGAAUCCUACAGGCCGAAUAUCUAAGGUUUCCUCAGGAAGGCUCGUCCGCUGAGGGUUAGUCGGGACCUAAGCCGAGGCCGAAAGGCGUAGGCGAUGGACAAUCGGUUGAUAUUCCGAUACCACUACCAUCGUUAUUAUCGAGGGUGUGACGGAGAAGGAUAGUGUGUGCUAGCGAUUGGAAAUGCUAGUCUAAGCGUUUAGGGAGUUACGGUAGGCAAAUCCGCUGUAACAAUUCUGAGGCGUGAUGGGGAAGGUCAUUAAGACCGAAGUACAUGAUUCCAUGCUUCCAAGAAAAGCAUCUAGAGAGAGAAGUAGUGCCCGUACCGCAAACCGACACAGGUAGAUGAGGAGAGAAUCCUAAGGCCGGCGGAAGAAUUGCAGUUAAGGAACUAGGCAAAUUGACCCCGUAAGUUCGCGAGAAGGGGUGCCUGCGAGAGCAGGCCGCAGAGAAUAGGCCCAAGCAACUGUUUAGCAAAAACACAGGUCUCUGCUAAAGCGUAAGCUGAUGUAUAGGGGCUGACGCCUGCCCGGUGCUGGAAGGUUAAGGGGAACACUUAGCGCAAGCGAAGGUGUGAACUUAAGCCCCAGUAAACGGCGGCCGUAACUAUAACGGUCCUAAGGUAGCGAAAUUCCUUGUCAGGUAAGUUCUGACCCGCACGAAUGGCGUAAUGACUUGGGCACUGUCUCAACUGCAAAUCCGGCGAAGUUGUAGUGCGAGUGAAGAUGCUCGCUACCCGCGAUUGGACGGAAAGACCCCGUAGAGCUUUACUGUAGCUUAGCAUUGAAUUCCGGUAUUGUCUGUACAGGAUAGGUGGGAGACUGGGAAACUAGGGCGUCAGCCUUAGUGGAGUCAACCUUGGGAUACCACCCUGACAGUACUGGGGUUCUAACAGGACGCCAUGAAGCUGGUGACUGGACAUUGUUAGGUGGGCAGUUUGACUGGGGCGGUCGCCUCCUAAAAAGUAACGGAGGCGCCCAAAGGUUCCCUCAGAACGGUCGGAAAUCGUUCGUAGAGUGCAAAGGCAGAAGGGAGCCUGACUGCGAGACCCACAAGUCGAGCAGGGACGAAAGUCGGGCUUAGUGAUCCGGUGGUACCUCGUGGGAGGGCCAUCGCUCAACGGAUAAAAGCUACCUCGGGGAUAACAGGCUGAUCUCCCCCAAGAGUCCACAUCGACGGGGAGGUUUGGCACCUCGAUGUCGGCUCGUCGCAUCCUGGGGCUGUAGUAGGUCCCAAGGGUUGGGCUGUUCGCCCAUUAAAGCGGCACGCGAGCUGGGUUCAGAACGUCGUGAGACAGUUCGGUCCCUAUCCGUCGCGGGC
rnacentral:rRNA from 1 species